AUGGGCAAGUCUUACACAACCAGCUCCUAUUUAAUUCCCCCAGGGUGGGAACACAGCAAGGGUAGGUAGUUGUAGCGGUGUGAUGUAAGUAGCUUGCCCU
rnacentral:SRP_RNA from 1 species